AGUGAACGCUGGCGGUAGGCCUAACACAUGCAAGUCGAACGGCAGCACAGUAAGAGCUUGCUCUUACGGGUGGCGAGUGGCGGACGGGUGAGGAAUACAUCGGAAUCUACUUUUUCGUGGGGGAUAACGUAGGGAAACUUACGCUAAUACCGCAUACGACCUACGGGUGAAAGCAGGGGAUCUUCGGACCUUGCGCGAUUGAAUGAGCCGAUGUCGGAUUAGCUAGUUGGCGGGGUAAAGGCCCACCAAGGCGACGAUCCGUAGCUGGUCUGAGAGGAUGAUCAGCCACACUGGAACUGAGACACGGUCCAGGCUCCGACGGGAGGCAGCAGUGGGGAAUAUUGGACAAUGGGCGCAAGCCUGAUCCAGCCAUACCGCGUGGGUGAAGAAGGCCUGUGGGUUGUAAAGCCCUUUUGUUGGGAAAGAAAAGCAGCAGGUUAAUACCCCGCUGUUCUGACGGUACCCAAAGAAUAAGCACCGGCUAACUUCGU
rnacentral:rRNA from 1 species